rnacentral:rRNA from 1 species
UACGGAGGGUGCAAGCGUUACUCGGAAUCACUGGGCGUAAAGCGAGCGCAGGCGGUUGCUUAGGUCUGAUGUGAAAGCCUUCGGCUUAACCGAAGAAGUGCAUCGGAAACCGGGCAACUUGAGUGCAGAAGAGGACAGUGGAACUCCAUGUGUAGCGGUGGAAUGCGUAGAUAUAUGGAAGAACACCAGUGGCGAAAGCGGCUCUCUGGUCUGUAACUGACGCUGAGGUUCGAAAGCGUGGGUAGCAAACAGG